ACACUCCUGCGGGAGGCAGCAGUGGGGAAUUUUGGACAAUGGGCGAUAGCCUGAUCCAGCCAUGCCGCGUGCAGGAUGAAGGCCUUCGGGUUGUAAACUGCUUUUGUACGGAACGAAACGGCCUUUUCUAAUAAAGAGGGCUAAUGACGGUACCGUAAGAAUAAGCACCGGCUAACUACGUGCCAGCAGCCGCGGUAAUACGUAGGGUGCAAGCGUUAAUCGGAAUUACUGGGCGUAAAGCGUGCGCAGGCGGUUAUGUAAGACAGUUGUGAAAUCCCCGGGCUCAACCUGGGAACUGCAUCUGUGACUGCAUAGCUAGAGUACGGUAGAGGGGGAUGGAAUUCCGCGUGUAGCAGUGAAAUGCGUAGAUAUGCGGAGGAACACCGAUGGCGAAGGCAAUCCCCUGGACCUGUACUGACGCUCAUGCACGAAAGCGUGGGGAGCAAACAGGAUUAGAAACCCGGGUAGUCC
rnacentral:rRNA from 1 species